GUGAGGAAUAUUGCGCAAUGGAGGCAACUCUGACGCAGCCAUGCCGCGUGCAGGAAGAAGGCGCUACGCGUUGUAAACUGCUUUUAACCGGGAAGAAACCCCAGGACGUGUCCUGGGUUGACGGUACCGGAGGAAUAAGCACCGGCUAACUUCGUGCCAGCAGCCGCGGUAAUACGAAGGGUGCAAGUGUUAUCCGGAUUCAUUGGGUUUAAAGGGUGCGUAGGCGGAGCGUUAAGUCAGUGGUGAAAUCCUGCAGCUUAACUGUAGACUUGCCAUUGAUACUGGCGCUCUUGAGUGCGCUUGAAGUGGGCGGAAUGUGCCGUGUAGCGGUGAAAUGCUUAGAUAUGGCACAGAACACCAAUUGCGAAGGCAGCUCACUAAGGCGAUACUGACGCUGAGGCACGAAAGCGUGGGGAUCGAACAGGAUUAGAAACCCGGGUAGUCC
rnacentral:rRNA from 1 species